AGCAGUCGCCGCGGUAAUACGUAGGUGGCAAGCGUUGUCCGGAAUUAUUGGGCGUAAAGGGCUCGCAGGCGGUUUCUUAAGUCUGAUGUGAAAGCCCCCGGCUCAACCGGGGAGGGUCAUUGGAAACUGGGAAACUUGAGUGCAGAAGAGGAGAGUGGAAUUCCACGUGUAGCGGUGAAAUGCGUAGAGAUGUGGAGGAACACCAGUGGCGAAGGCGACUCUCUGGUCUGUAACUGACGCUGAGGAGCGAAAGCGUGGGGAGCGAACAGGAUUAGAUACCCCGGUAGUCCCUGUCUCUUAUAC
rnacentral:rRNA from 1 species